rnacentral:misc_RNA from 1 species
GAAAUGCGAAACGUAAUGUGAAUUGCAGAACUCCAGUGAAUCAUCGAAUCUUUGAACGCACCUUGCGCUCCGUGGUAUUCCGCGGAGCAUGCCUGUUUGAGUGUCGCGCUCCCCUCUCAACCUCGCCCCUUUAACCGGGCGCAGGCUUGGAUCGUGGCCCCCCUCCCGACCGACGGCCCCUCGGGGCCCGAGGUCGCGGGCCGAAAUACACGCUGGCGUCUUUGCGCGCUCCAGUCAACGACGUUGUACUCUGUCCCUCGUCGGCGGCCGGUUCGCAAACUGAAGCGCCUCCGAAUGUGCGAACGCGGCCCUCGGGCCCGUUCAUUGACAAUGACCUCAAAUCAGGUAGGACUACCCGCUGAACUUAA